rnacentral:rRNA from 1 species
UAGAGUUUGAUCCUGGCUCAGGACGAACGCUGGCGGCGUGCCUAAUACAUGCAAGUCGAGCGCAGGAAACCAGAUGACCCCUUCGGGGUGAUUCUGGCGGAAUGAGCGGCGGACGGGUGAGUAACACGUGGGCAACCUGCCUGUAAGACUGGGAUAACUUCGGGAAACCGGAGCUAAUACCGGAUAGUAUUUCCUUUCUCCUGAUUGGAAAUGGAAAGACGGUUUCGGCUGUCACUUACAGAUGGGCCCGCGGUGCAUUAGCUAGUUGGUGGGGUAAUGGCCCACCAAGGCGACGAUGCAUAGCCGACCUGAGAGGGUGAUCGGCCACACUGGGACUGAGACACGGCCCAGACUCCUACGGGAGGCAGCAGUAGGGAAUCUUCCGCAAUGGACGAAAGUCUGACGGAGCAACGCCGCGUGAGCGAUGAAGGCCUUCGGGUCGUAAAACUCUGUUGUUAGGGAAGAACAAGUACGAGAGUAACUGCUCGUACCUUGACGUACCAACCU